rnacentral:misc_RNA from 1 species
UCCGAGUUGACCCCGGCAGUAUCCCAUGAGUUCCCACCAUUACGUGCUGGCAACAUAGAACGAGGGUUGCGCUCGUUGCGGGACUUAACCCAACAUCUCACGACACGAGCUGACGACAACCAUGCACCACCUGUUUACGAGUGUCCAAAGAGUUGACCAUUUCUGGCCCGUUCUCGUAUAUGUCAAGCCUUGGUAAGGUGGGGAUGACGUAGGAGGAAUUCCA